GACGAACGCUGGCGGCGUGCUUAACACAUGCAAGUCGAACGGAAAGGCCCUGCUUUUGUGGGGUGCUCGAGUGGCGAACGGGUGAGUAACACGUGAGUAACCUGCCCUUGACUUUGGGAUAACUUCAGGAAACUGGGGCUAAUACCGGAUAGGAGCUCCUGCUGCAUGGUGGGGGUUGGAAAGUUUCGGCGGUUGGGGAUGGACUCGCGGCUUAUCAGCUUGUUGGUGGGGUAGUGGCUUACCAAGGCUUUGACGGGUAGCCGGCCUGAGAGGGUGACCGGCCACAUUGGGACUGAGAUACGGCGCAGUCUCCAACGAGAGGCAGCAGUGGGGAAUAUUGCACUAUGGGCGGAAGCCUGAUGCAGCAACGCCGCGUGCGGGAUGACGGCCUUCGGGUUGUAAACCGCUUUCGCCUGUGAGGAAGCGUGUGUGACGGUAAUGUGUAAAGAAGCACCGGCUAACUACGUG
rnacentral:rRNA from 1 species